CCGUCUAUCUCUUCGCCAUGUUUCGACCAUGCGUGAGUACGUGACGGCGGGGUUAACUUGACCGUCGACACGCCCUGACACCGCUGACGAGGAAAGAGAGGGACAGCAAUGAGAACGCUGAUUCAUUCCACCACCAAUGGCCACUUCCCAAAUCCCCAUCCCGAUAGAAAGAGAUAGAAGAAACUGACGCGAACAUCUCUCCUCUGCUUCUCCCUCCCGGCCACCGACGGGCUCGGAGUCGCACUCAUCACCUUCUCAAUUGGCGCCGGCCUCUAUACCUACUGCCAUAUGUCUAGGUCACUGCCAUUCUCAAUUCGAGUAAAAUUCCCAUUGAAUGUUAACUUAAUGAUAUCGGGGAGCAAUGACAUACUUGUGAGUUUUCAAGGAAGAGGGGCUCUUCCAGCAAGUGGAGUGCCACCAAGAGUCGACAUCAUCAACGUCUCCAUUAGAAGCCGGAGAGUAUGAUCCAAGCAAACCGAGCCGCUAAAGAGACAGAGAGCUUAAGUCGAGAAGGGGAGGAGCAAAGUGUUGAGCGAGAUGAAGAGGAGGUGAGGCAUGAUAAACAAAGAACAAUGGCCAGAGAGCUCAAGUGGAGAAGGGGAGGAGCGAAGUGCUGAGCGAGACGAAGAGGAGGUCAGGCCGAAGAACAAUGGAAUUUUAAUCCCACAUCGCUAAAUAAACUUUCCGAGUGCGACUGAGAACUUUAAAAGAAGGAAGGAUCUUAUCAUACAAUUCAUACCUUUCUCGGCCUUUUGGCUAAGAUCAAGUGUAGUAUCUGUUCUUAUCAGUUUAAUAUCUGAUACGUGGACCAUUGGUCCAUUAUGAUAUUAAAUUAAUUUUUUAUGGGGAGAGGGUUCAUUAUAAUAGCUUGCUAUUGGAAUCCUUGCACGUCGCCUUUGUGUUGCACUAUUGCAUAGGCUGGCGCACCCGACCAA